rnacentral:miRNA from 1 species
UCACUCAGAAUUAAAAAACAAUA